UGACGGUAUCAGGGGAAUCAGCAUCGGCUAACUUCGUGCCAGCAGCCGCGGUAAUACGAGGGAUGCAAGCGUUAUCCGGAAUUAUUGGGCGUAAAGCGUCCGCAGGUGGCUCUGUAAGUCUGUCGUUAAAGAAUGGGGCUCAACCCCAUACAGGCGAUGGAAACUACAAGGCUAGAGUUUGGUAGGGGUCACGGGAAUUCUUAGUGUAGCGGUGAAAUGCGUAGAUAUUAAGAAGAACACCAGCGGCGAAAGCGCGUGACUGGGCCAGUACUGACACUUAUGGACGAAAGCUAGGGGAGCGAAAGGGAUUAGAUACCCCUGUAGUCCUAGCCGUAAACGAUGAUAACUAGGUGUUGCCCGUAUCGACCCGGGCAGUGCCGUAGCCAACGCGUUAAGUUAUCCGCCUGGGGAGUACGCACGCAAGUGUGAAACUCAAAGGAAUUGACGGGGGCCCGCACAAGCGGUGGAGUAUGUGGUUUAAUUCGAUGCAACGCGAAGAACCUUACCAAGGCUUGACAUGUCGCGAAUUCCCUUGAAAGGGGGAAGUG
rnacentral:rRNA from 1 species